UACGGAGGAUGCAAGCGUUAUCCGGAUUUAUUGGGUUUAAAGGGUGCGCAGGUUGUUUGAUAAGUCAGUGGUGAAAGUCUGUCGCUUAACGGUAGGAUUGCCAUUGAUACUGUUAGACUUGAAUAUGGAUGAGGUAGGCGGAAUGUGUAGUGUAGCGGUGAAAUGCAUAGAUAUUACACAGAACACCGAUUGCGAAGGCAGCUUACUAAACCAUAACUGACGCUCAGGCACGAAGGCGUGGGGAUCAAACAGGAUUAGA
rnacentral:rRNA from 1 species